rfam:Clostridium collagenovorans DSM 3089 genome assembly, contig: EJ35DRAFT_scaffold00020.20
UAAAUUGAGAGUUUGAUCCUGGCUCAGGACGAACGCUGGCGGCGUGCUUAACACAUGCAAGUCGAGCGAUGAAGUUCCUUCGGGAACGGAUUAGCGGCGGACGGGUGAGUAACACGUGGGCAACCUGCCUGUAAGUGGGGGAUAGCCCUCCGAAAGGAGGAGUAAUACCGCAUAAGAUAUUUUGAUCGCAUGGUCGAAAUAUUAAAGGA